UACGGAGGGUGCAAGCGUUAUCCGGAUUCACUGGGUUUAAAGGGAGCGUAGGUGGGUUGGUAAGUCAGUGGUGAAAUCCCCGAGCUUAACUUGGGAACUGCCAUUGAUACUAUCAGUCUUGAAUACUGUGGAGGUUAGCGGAAUAUGUCAUGUAGCGGUGAAAUGCUUAGAUAUGACAUAGAACACCAAUUGCGAAGGCAGCUGGCUACACAAUUAUUGACACCGAGGCUCGAAAGCGUGGGGAUCAAACAGG
rnacentral:rRNA from 1 species